AGUGAACGCUGGCGGUAGGCCUAACACAUGCAAGUCGAACGGCAGCACAGUAAGAGCUUGCUCUUAUGGGUGGCGAGUGGCGGACGGGUGAGGAAUACAUCGGAAUCUACCUUUUCGUGGGGGAUAACGUAGGGAAACUUACGCUAAUACCGCAUACGACCUUGGGUGAAAGCAGGGACCUUCGGGCCUUGCGCGGAUAG
rnacentral:rRNA from 1 species